UGGUGUUAUGAAAAAUGUACCCCAAAAUGCGUUGCCUUUUAAGAAGGACAGACGCGGGUCGGAAGCUCCAAAAUUUGCACUAAGUUCAGCUCCGCCGGGAAAAUGACAGAGACCACACGAUGCUGUCAGGAAAAACAAACUGAUCCCUUUAUUGCAGAAUGCAAAGCUACAGCUGUAGGGUCCCUGCCUCUGGAAAGAAGGAAGGAACCCCGGGAAAUGGUGGGCAAUCCUUCGAGAUGGGCGCAGGAGUGGAGCGAUUUCCUGACGAUUUCCAUGAGGUGAUUUUCAUCCGGCAGGUGUUUUCCUUGAGGCCGCGGAAAGAUGGACUAUGGCAUGUUUAAUUUGAAUAAAGUUGUCAAGCUAAUCUUUCUAUUGUCCGUGUCUUCCUUCGUUGGGUAUGGGACGGUGAUGGGGAGGUUUCAGGGGGGCUUGGGGUCAGAGAAGGGUUGCACAGAAAAUAAGUAUGGAAAACAUUUCUAAUACAUCCUGACGUAUACAGUUCUAAAAUAUAAAACAGUGAUUUUCUAAUACAAAGAGAUACUAACAAACCUAUUUUCUAAUACAGAGGAACACUAGUCUAAUUAAUCAAGAGUAAUACUGAGGUUGUGGUUAGGUUCUUAGGCAUAUAGGGAGGGACGCCUUUCAAGGGAUAUAAGGGGUUUCUCACAUUUAAGGCACAUAAGGCCAGCAGACAUAUAAUCACAAGAAGCAAGCGUAUAAUCACGAGAAGGUAAAAGUUCAUAGCAAGUUUGUAUAAGGUUUGUAUAAAAUGGUAAGGCUGUAUAAAAAUGGGCUGCGUUACUUGGUGGAGUUUAUGAUAAUUGUCUGUGAUAAUUGUCUAGGCGAGGGUUGCAUAUGCUUGUCCUUAGGCGAAGGGGAAAUGCAGAUGUCUAGGCAAGGGUUGCAUAUGCUUGUCCUUAGGCGAAGGGGAAAUGCAGAGUUUAUAUUGGAUUUUAGGAGGUGUUUGAAUAUGUUAAUCCCUGCGGAGGGGGUGCGGGUCUCUGGAGGGAAGGAGAGCCAAGCUGUGGCGGCGAAAUGGUGGUGCGAAGGACUCUGGGUAGCCGUAGCUGUCAAGCUGUGGUUACCCCUCUCUGUUCAUUAAUAAUGGUGUCCUGCAACCCCCCCAAUAUGAUUUUAUAACAGUGUCCCCUCUCUGAGGCAAUAUUGUUGUGUAACAACCAAUCAUUGCCUCAUAUAAUCGACAGUGACGUAUUCUCCAUUUCACUGUAUGCAGCAGUAUUCUAGCACUUAUGGGAAAAACAAGUGGUCUAUGCUUUACAUUUACCAGAAGAUCCACCAAUAUUGACUGGAAAGUGUAGUUUGUUUGUUUGUUUUUACCUUUUUGUGUGUUGUCAGGUGUCAAAGCUAGCUCUCCUCUGGUCUCACACCUCCAUCAUGGCACAGCAGCAACAAUCCCUGGUGAAUCCCCUUAGGGCUUUCAUAUCGACCAUGUCACCUGGCACUCACCAUAGCUGCCACAGGUUUGGACAUGUCAUGAGAGAGAUGCCUUUGCCUUGGGCUUUCUAUGGGAUUUUUUUAUUAUAGGCUCUGGUCUUGCACUGUAGUAGGGAGUUGCUCAGUUACUCUUAAAGGGAGAAAGCUACUUGCACCUUGGAUUCACUUGCCCAAUUAGAACUGACCCAAUUAUAAUUUAUACAG